AGUGCACGCGCGAGCCGCCCACCCGUGAGCCAUGAACAUCCAUCACCGUGACUCACAGCUGCUGCCCUGCUUCUCCUGCCGACGCCUCCCGGGAGCCCGGGGCAGGACCUAAAGGUAUUUCCUGGCCUGCUACUUCCUGGGUCUUCCUGAGCCCCUCCGAGCCAAGGCCGGCCCAGCAGGCGCCUGUGCUUCUGUAGUCUCUUCUGCCCUGCCUGCCCGCUCUGGGUUUGGUGUAAUAGAAAGAGAUGUGGAUGAGGAGCCGGGCACUUGGGCCUGGGUGGCUCUGCCACUCCCUAGCACAGCACUGAGCAAGUCAUCCCCCGCUCCAGCAUCGGCUUCCUUUUCCGAGAAAUGGGAACACUUGCAUCUCCGCUACCUACGACACUGAGGUGUCAUGGGGAGAAAAAACCCUAGAUGGGGAAGGCCUUCGGAAGAGGAAGGCAUGCUGGUAAAAAAAACUCAUUCACAUGACAGAGCAACGCUGGUGGUGUUUAGGCAAGCUCCCGAAAGACGCAUGGAAUCUUCUCUUUACGAGGUGAAGGGUCAGGCCAUAAGCCUUCCUGUGCCUUCAACUUCGCGAAGAUAAGCUGCUCUGUUGUCUAGCGGAUGACCUGUGAACAACGGCAAGCUGUCCAGCCUGUUGCAACAUGAACCAAAAUCAUGCCCAUCUGGAAUAUGUCUGGGCCCGCCCAUCAUUCCCAGGGAAGUUUGCCUGUUUUCUCAGCAUUUUCUUAAAAGAAGAUGAAAGGAUACCAAGGGUUCUCAAGCCCAGAGUGCUCCUGUUGCUGCAGAGUGGCUGGUAAUGAAGCCGUUCCCCAGGCCCCAGCAUGGUCCUCGUGGUCGGGCUCUGGGCUGCAUGAUCGGGGGAGGCUGACCUAAUUAGCCUGGCUGGGAGCUGCCUGGCAUUGGCAGUGAUAGACGGAACAUCCUCUUCAGAGACCCCCAACGCCCUUUGGUUGCUCCUGAACUGGGUCAGGUGUCCUCUGAACCCACCCUGUAGGGGAAGGGCUGGGAGGACACUUCUGAUGUAAACCCAGAGCACAUGCAAGUUCAAAUCCCCACCAUUCUCUGGCCUCUCUUCCACGUGACACUGGUAUGGGGGUGCCUUUUGAGCAUGUUCCUUCCAGUCACCAAAGUCAGUCUAGUAGGAGCUUCCAUCUGUUCUCUGGAACUUUCUGUAGGUGGCUCUCCAGGGGUACUUGGGAGGACUUCCCUCCUGGACAAGGAAGCCCUGGCAAGGGACCUGGGUGGGGGCUUUGAGAGGCUGUUGGGAUGCAGGGAUGGGGCAGCCAUGCCUGUGGCCACCCAGACAACCUAACCAGAGUCCACCUUAAGAGGCAGAGGGAUGAAGCCACAUGUGGACAAAAAGAUGGGCAGGAACAGAGGGGAGAAGCGGCACACCUGCAGCCAUGAUGCCCCUGCAGGAAGGGAAGGAGCGGUGCAGAGAGCUGGAGAGGCCUCUGAGCAAAGUGUCCAUCAGGGCCCCAGCCGGGGAGAGCCUCUGAGCACAUGCCUCGAGAGAACACCUCCACGGAGGUCGGGGAGGCAGCUGCUAGGGUCCAGGGGACAGCUUGCCAGGACAAGGCCUGUCUCCUCUGACACCCUGCAUCACAGGGCUCUCAGAUCUCCUCUCAGUGCCUGGGCCUCAGUUUCUCCACCUGCAAAGGCCCCUAGCAGCAGAAAGUGAGGGACCAUGGUGAACGACACUUAACCUCGAAGGGAGAGACACUGUCAAAUAUAGUGUAUAAAAAGCCAAACAUGAGAGAAGACAGAGCAUUCUGGUAGAGGGGAGGAGAGGAUUUAAGGGUUUUGUUCCCAGCGGGAAGGUGAGAGGCAAAAGGAUGCUCUGAAAUGACUGUCCCCCUCAUGGCAGCAGGUGGGCAGAUCAAAGCUGCUCAGUGCCUGCCCCGUGGAGGCUUCGGUUGGCUGCCUGGGAGGAGCUGGGUCACCAGGGCCAUCAGCUGAGCUUGGUGGUUUGAGGAGGAGAGGCCUGGGCACAUUCAACGGCCAGAAUGGCGGCCCACAGGCUGGGCACACAAGGCCCCUGAGCAGACUGAGGGGAGCUGCCACGGCUCCUGGCUUGUGCCCGGCACAUGCUGGCUCGAGGACAGCCAGCCCCAGAGGCCCAGAAUUACUGAGUCCAAUCCAAGCCCAGCCCCGGCACUAGAACCUUGCUCCAGCUUCUUUUUCUGGCCCAGUUAGUGCCUACCCCCUUCCAGUUCCAGCUGCAAACAGGAGCCAUGACUCCCUUUCAGGGAAGGCUGGGCCUCUUUCCCUGCCCCCUGUGCCCCCUCCCUCCAGCCUCCCUAACUGGAAACACUGGGACUUAACCAUGGAAACCCUAGGGAGGCCCCGGGGCUCCAGACAGCCGCCUUUGCUGCCCAGAGGUGAGGCCUUGCCUAAAGCUCCAGGCCUCUGACCCCAUGGGCAGUGGGGCACCCUGUAGACAUCCCUGCCUGUAGCUCUUCUUAGUGCCUAGAAG
rnacentral:lncRNA from 1 species